rnacentral:rRNA from 1 species
UACAGAGGUCCCGAGCGUUAGGCGGAAUCACUGGGCUUAAAGCGUGUGUAGGCGGACUUCUAAGUACCUUGUGAAAUCCCACGGCUCAACCGUGGAACUGCUUGGUAUACUGGUUGUCUUGGGCCAUCUAGGGGCGAGCGGAACAAACGGUGGAGCGGUGAAAUGCGUAGAUAUCGUUUGGAACGCCAAUGGUGAAAACAGCUCGCUGGGGAUGUGCCGACGCUGAGACACGAAAGCCAGGGGAGCGAACGGG